CAUGCAGGCGGUCGGACGCGUUUUGUGUGACGGCGGGUGGCUUAACUACCCGAGUAUGCGAAAGACGGUUUGACUUGAGGGCUCGAGAGGGACACGGAAUUCCGGGUGGAGUGGUGAAAUGCGUAGAGAUCCGGAGGAACACCGAAGGCGAAGGCAGUGUCCUGGCGAGUGACUGACGCUGAGGUGCGAAAGCUAGGGGAGCGAACG
rnacentral:rRNA from 1 species